rnacentral:lncRNA from 10 species
CACUUAUUAAAACUGCAAAAAUUGGGACUCAGCAACAUUCUCUUGGCUCCUGGUGGUCAGUGGGGGAAGUAUGUGGGCAAGUCGGCACUCAUCAUCCAGUUAAUCCAGUCCUUUUUUCUAAUGGGUUAUGACCCAAUCACUUAAGAUUCCUAUGCAAAGCAGUGUGUGACAGAUAACACAGCAGGCUGGCUAGAUAUUUUAGAUAAAGCAGAACAAGAAGAGUUUGGUUGGAGCCAUGAGACAACAGAAUAUCAAAACUGGUGAGGGCUUCCUGUUGGUCUUUUGAGUCACAGGUCAAGGCAGUUUUGGAAAAAAUCUAUACAUUUCAAAGACAGAUUCUCAGAGUAAAGGAUUAUGAUGAGUUUCCAAUGAUUUUAUUUGGCAAUAAAGCAGAUCUGGAUCAUUAAAGACAAGAAACACAGGAAGGACACAGUUAGUACGGCAACUUAAGGCAGCAUACCCAGAAGGCAUUAGCAAAGAUUAGAAUGAAUGUAGAUUAAGCUUUCCAUUAACUUGUCCAAGUUAUAAGGAAAUUUCAAGAGCAGUAACUUCCUUCUUCACCAGAAUCGACACGGAAAGAAAAAGACAAGAAAGGCUGCUACUGUGUCAUUUU